rnacentral:misc_RNA from 1 species
UGAGCCUAAUUUGAGUGAAAAUGGCAAGGUUAUAUAUCUGGCUCCAGGUGUUAGUGACAUCAUGAAUUUUGCUCUGAAGAAACUUACCUUGUCGAAGAAGCACCUAGUGCCAGUGUUUGCUACUCCCAAGGGUGAGAACUUGGAUUAUCGUUGAAGGAAGGGAAGCUUAAGACAGCUAUAAACUCAAAGCAUCCCUUAAGCAAGGCUG